UACGGAGGGUGCAAGCGUUAAUCGGAAUUACUGGGCGUAAAGCGCACGCAGGCGGUCUGUCAAGUCGGAUGUGAAAUCCCCGGGCUCAACCUGGGAACUGCAUCCGAAACUGGCAGGCUAGAGUCUUGUAGAGGGGGGUAGAAUUCCAGGUGUAGCGGUGAAAUGCGUAGAGAUCUGGAGGAAUACCGGUGGCGAAGGCGGCCCCCUGGACAAAGACUGACGCUCAGGUGCGAAAGCGUGGGGAGCAAACAGGAUUAGAUACCCUGGUAGUCCACGCCGUAAACGAUGUCGACUAGGAGGGGGGGCCCUUGAGGCGUGGCUGCCGGAGCUAACGCGUUAAGUCGACCGCCUGGGGAGUACGGCCGCAAGGUUAAA
rnacentral:rRNA from 1 species